UAAUCAAGAACGAAAGUUAGAGGUUCGAAGGCGAUCAGAUACCGCCCUAGUUCUAACCAUAAACGAUGCCAGCCAGCGAUCCGCCGAAGUUCCUCCGAUGACUCGGCGGGCAGCUUCCGGGAAACCAAAGCUUUUGGGUUCCGGGGGAAGUAUGGUUGCAAAGCUGAAACUUAAAGGAAUUGACGGAAGGGCACCACCAGGAGUGGAGCCUGCGGCUUAAUUUGACUCAACACGGGAAACCUCACCAGGCCCGGACACCGGAAGGAUUGACAGAUUGAGAGCUCUUUCUUGAUUCGGUGGGUGGUGGUGCAUGGCCGUUCUUAGUUGGUGGAGCGAUUUGUCUGGUUAAUUCCGGUAACGAACGAGACUCUAGCCUGCUAAAUAGACGAUUUCCGGUAUCCACAAUAGUGCUACCGGCGAAAUCAAUAUCUUCUUAGAGGGACAGGCGGCUUUCAGCCGCACGAAACUGAGCAAUAACAGGUCUGUGAUGCCCUUAGAUGUCCUGGGCCGCACGCGCGCUACACUGAAGGAAUCAGCGUGUACACCCUGGCCGAAAGGCUCGGGCAACCCGUUGAACCUCCUUCGUGCUAGGGAUUGGGGCUUGCAAUUGUUCCCCAUGAACGAGGAAUUCCCAGUAAGCGCGAGUCAUAAGCUCGCGUUGAUUACGUCCCUGCCCUUUGUACACACCGCCCGUCGCUACUACCGAUUGAAUGAUUUAGUGAGGUCUUCGGACUGGUGCGCGGCGGCCGCCUGCGCGGCCGCCGAUGCCACCGGGAAGAUGACCGAACUUGAUCAUUUAGAGGAAGUAAAAGUCGUAACAA
rnacentral:rRNA from 1 species